CGAUCCCAAUCCUCGGCUCGCCCGCUGCAACACCAGCCGCCACACAAACCCUAGCUCCUUUCCCCUCGAUCUCUACAGCCUCUCCCUCCUCCAUAUCCCCUCCUCGCUCAUCACCAUGGCCCGCCCUAGGAGCCUCGCUGCCACCUGCCACUCCUCCUCCACCACGCCACCCCCUCUAACCACGGCUUCCUUUUUUUCUUCGUCAGCCGUCGGCGGCGCCUGGUUCCAGAUCGGGUGCUGGUUAGGCGAGCCUGGUAGUGGGGUGAAGGAGCAGGGUAGGCGCGCGACGAGGACAAGCAAGGGAAGAGGAAGGAGGCUGGCAACAGGGUGAAGGAGCAGGCCGACCAUCGUUGAGGCGGCGUCGCCCGUCUAGGUGCCAUUCAUCGUCGCUGGCCUCACUAGCCUCACCUACUCCGUCUUCACCAACCCGGCCAUGGAGAUGAGACGAGAAAGGUUGUGGCCAGCCAAUCGAGUCGCACCUCGGGUGCGCGACCCCAGGGAGGAUUUUGCGCUACCGUAUCUGUUGCUGGCCUCACUCGCCUCGUCUACUCUCUCUUCACCAAACCGGCCACGAAGAUGGGAUGAGAGUGUCCAUGGCCAGCCAAUCGAGCCCCACCUCCGGUGGGCGACCCCAGGGAAGAUUUUUGCGCUGCAGUCUUCUUGCGCCAGUCCGUGCCCUGGACGAACGACACCUGCUGAGGUAGUCAGUCCAGUGACAUAGAGAUACAAGAGAUAUUCAGUUAUGAGGAUGGGGGAAAUUAAUGAUCAUACAGUCAUUGCAGAUUUGAAAUGAGGCAUCAAGGCAGCAAAUGGGGCAGUAUUUUGAUCUCAUUUCAUCUGACCCAUUGAUUAUUUGUUGUCUUUUUCACAUGCCACCAAGUUCAGGUUGCUUUUCUUAUAUCAUUGGUUUAUGGUCUGCUUCAAUGUGAACUUAAAUGAAGACCUAGAUUGAUCUCUAAUUUGUAAAUGUCAUCGAGCUGCUGCUACACACGCUGAUUGGGUUGGCAGGCUGCUGUACAUUUGUUCAGAUCUUCCAUUGUCUAGCUGAUUCAGAAUUUGGCUCAUGCCAGUGGAUAAAAUAUGCUUAUUUGCAUGGUUGCUGUUGUACGUUCGUCAUGCAUCUAAAGUCACUUACUUUCUAGGAUUUUCGGAUGGAUGCUAUGCUUCUCUUUUUGCUGAAAAAUCUAUGGGUGAAUGUGUUGGUGUGGAUAGCUUGCCUGUAUGCAGAAUCUAUCUUUAGAUUCUACGAGAUGAUGCAUUCGUGUGGUCAGCAUGCCUGUGUGUAGAAUCUCUAUAUCCUUAGAUUCUACAAGAUGAUGCAUUGGUGUGGUCAGCCUGUCUAUGUGCAGAAUCUUUGUUUACAUUUUGUCAGAAUUUUCCUUUCUUUCUUAUUGUUCUCAUGGCGAUCUGAUCCUAUAGAUAAAUCGUGUGUGUGCCUAUGAUCUACUAUGUCUGAUGCAUGUCUAUGUAGUUAUCUGUUUAAUAAACUUAUACUUAGUUUGCGUUGUUUGGAGAGUAAUACGGUUGACUGAUUGUUUGCAUGAUCAUAUCAUCAUUUGGGGGAUUGGUUUAGGUUCCUCGGGAAAUUUAAUUGUUCUGCCAUAAAACUCCAUAGUGAAAAUUUUAGUUUCCAAGUUAACGUUCGGUCAUAUACGGGAAAAACUCACAUUUAUUUGUAUCUCAACCUUAUUGGUUUAUUUAACUAUGUAUAUUAUAAGAUUGGAGAUGUAAAAACAUUUGAUUUUGAAUCUCAAGAAAUUACUUGUGGAUGGUGAUGAUAUAUAACUUGAAUACUCUUGACAAGGAAGAUUUUAUAUUUAUCCGUUAUACCUUAUGAUGUUAAUUAUGGCAUUAUUAUGUUAAUCCCUUCACGAUGGAUGCUGCGUAAUGUAGCUGUUGUAAUUUGCAGUUUAACAUACCAGUUCAGCAAAUUGUGGGUAAGAUGUGUAUUUUUUUUCAUAUUUUUACAGAUGACAGGGAGAAGGAGCAGGCUGUCGAGGAGUGCAAGCAGAAGUAUUAAUUUUGGCCCAUACAGUUUCCGGUGACUGGAAGUCUAAAACUGAAGACAGGGCAUAUUGUUUUGGUUAUGAGUGGUUGGAAAUAUUGUGGCUUCAUGUCCCUAGAGCAGUCAGACACUUCCAAAAUAGGUGUUAAAAUCCUAGGUGCCAAGGGCAUUGUGGUGGUGCGAUCCAUGUCUCCUGCGAGCGCUCGGCAUGGCGUCCAUAGCCCCAAAGAGCAGGGCUUCAAGGUUCUUUUCAUUGAAUGACUUGAUUUGUUUCUCCUAUGUUGUGCUCGAUUACUAACUGAAACUGUAGCUCUCCUAUGUAUCAGGCUGGACAACAAGCUUCACUUGAUGAAAGCAUUUCCCUUCUAAAACAGAGUAAUGCUGAGAUUAAUGCACAAGUUAGUCUUGAUACUAAGGUGGUUAUGGGAUUGCUUGAUCUAUGCUAGGCCAAUAUGUCAGCCAACCACUUAAAAAUAAUCACUUGCAUUUCUUCCUAUGAACUCUGAAUCCUGACGAGUGAUAACGCAUAAAAAAUUAGCAAUAGAAGGUGUCAGUGAACACGAGUACUCAGUCAAGAGCAAUAUAGCGGUAGAUACUUUACAAUGUAAUUUUAUAUAAUAAUAAAUAAAUGGCACUUAAGUUGUUAAGAAAUUGUUGUUGGAGUAUUGUCUCACCCUUUAUCUGCUCUCUCGAAAACUGUGGAUUGCUAUGGGCUGGAGCUCCAGGAGAGGAGGGAGGUAAGCGUGGAUGCAAUGGAUAUUGUUCGGAUAAAAAAUUGGGUGGAAACUGAGUAGUGACGGUGAGACUUAUUCCAUUUGUUUCUCCUUUGCCCUUUUAAUCAAGAACAACGUUCAGAGCUUGCGUGGUUGUCGAAAUAUAAUUCUGUAAAGGAGAAAUAUUGAUAUCAUGCAAUGAUCAAUGCAGAGUUGGAUAGUUAUAGAGUUCUUCCUUAGUUUUCAUUGAGCAAAGAUUGGAUCUGUGCGAUUUGUUCUAAUACCAAGUAAAUCUUGGUCUGCAUAGUUUUUUUCCUAUAUUUGUUUAAACAAAUUGGGACUUGAUGUGAAAAAGGGUGUGUGUUGACAUGCAUGUAAACAAAUCAUGGAUUAAUGUGAGGUACUAUAUAUACUUGCCUAUCUCUGUGCAAAAGCUUAUGGCCCUCUUUGAUACAACUAGGAACAUCAAAACCAAAUGGGAUUUCAUUGAGUGUACUUCAGAUGGCCAUACUGUAAGUGCACCAUUACUAAAUAGUAUAUGAAUCUGCCUUGUAUAAUUAAGAUGCACUUUCUACAUAGCGCUGCUAUAUAUUGAUACUGUGUGAUCACUUAACAUAAAUCUGGCUAGGUGAUUUGCUCGCCUAACUCUCUGGUUGCAUAUAAUCCGAUCCUGAUAGUGACAUGAUUUACUCUGUUUGAUCAAACAGGUAGAAGCCAAAGCUGUUUUACGUGAAUCUAAUGACGUCCCUGCCGCUAUAAGCUAGGAAUUUGAUAAAUUCAACAUUGGCAAUCUGGUCUUGUGCUCUUCGUCCAAAAGCAUAUUCUGAUAGCGAGAUUCUUAUUGUGGAUGUUUCAGCGUCGACCUGAAUUUUGUUUAACCUACUGUAGAAAGACCUUCUAGGGUGAUUAGCUGCAGUACUGUAACAAAUAAUGAAAAAAACUCAGUGUCUUCUCAUUUAAUAUUCUAGCUGCAACUACUUGACUACAAGUUUUAUGUGGAAUUUUUCUAUACAGCUUGCACAAACUCAGUGAGAUCGGGAAUCAUCAUCUCACAUUUUUUUUCUUGAAAGGUAUAGAAGAAGGAAAAGAGAGCAUUGGAUUUUGAGUUAAUGAAAUAUAUUUGCAAAAAAGAGAGUUAAUGAAAUAUUCUCAAUCAAGAAAACUCAAGGUCGGUUCAGUCAACAGAAAAGAAUAAGUUUCGAUUGCAGGGCUUCGAGAUGCACCGUGAGGGCUGAAACGAGUCUUAUACCGGGUCUUUCAUGAAUUUAGUUAGCCUAAAUACUUCCAGAAUCCCUCUUGCAAUAUGUAAAAGAAGGAAAAUAUAACAUUGGAGGAAAAGGCAGCAAAGUGGAUUCUCUAAGCUUUCUCAAAUGUUUGAACAAGGAAAAGAUAGUUACAAUCAUUUUUCUCUCGCCUUGUUACAUCUUGAUGUUAAUAGUCUUUGGAAGGUACUAUGCACCCCGUUCAAGGUUUACAGAAUUUGCACGAUCCUAUUACAAUUUUAUCGGAUGACAGAAUUGACCAGUUCUUCCUUGAGGAAAUUAAUAUUUCAGCUGCUACUCCUUUGUGCA